rnacentral:rRNA from 1 species
UACGGAGGGUGCGAGCGUUGUCCGGAAUCACUGGGCGUAAAGGGCGCGUAGGCGGCUCAUACCCAAGCGUGCGGUGAAAGGCCGGGGCUCAACCCCGGCUCGGCCGUGCGGACUGGGGGGCUAGAGCGCUGUAGAGGCGGGCGGAAUUCCGGGUGUAGCGGUGGAAUGCGUAGAGAUCCGGAAGAACACCGGUGGCGAAGGCGGCCCGCUGGGCAGUGACUGACGCUGAGGCGCGACAGCGUGGGGAGCAAACAGG